rnacentral:rRNA from 1 species
AGUCGAGCGGCAGCGACUUAACUGAACCUUCGGGGAACGUUAAGGGCGGCGAGCGGCGGACGGGUGAGUAAUGCCUGGGAAUAUGCCCUGAUGUGGGGGAACUAUUGGAAACGAUAGCUAAUACCGCAUAAUCUCUUCGGGGCAAAGAGGGGGACCUUCGGGCCUCUCGCGUCAGGAUUAGCCCAGGUGGGAUUAGCUUGUUGGUGAGGUAAUGGCUCACCAAGGCAACGAUCCCUAGCUGGUCUGAGAGGAUGAUCAGCCACACUGGAACUGAGACACGGUCCAGACUCCUACGGGAGGCAGCAGUGGGGAAUAUUGCACAAUGGGGGAAACCCUGAUGCAGCUAUGCCGCGUGUGUGAAGAAGCUUCGGGUUGUAAAGCACUUUCAGUAGGGAGGAAGGUAGUGUAGUUAACACCUGCACUAUUUGACGUUACCUACAGAAGAAGCACCGCUAACUCC